AUUGAACGCUGGCGGCAGGCCUAACACAUGCAAGUCGAGCGAGCGGCGGACGGGUGAGUAAUGUCUGGGAAACUGCCUGACGGUGGGGGAUAACUACUGGAAACGGUAGCUAAUCCCGCAUCCCAUCAGAUGUGCCCAGAUGGGAGUAGCUAGUAGGUGGGGUAACGGCUCACCUAGGCGACGAUCCCUAGCUGGUCUGAGAGGAUGACCAGGCACACGGUAACUGAGACAAGGUCCAGGCUCGUACGGGAGGCAGCAGGGGGGAAGAUUGCACAAUGGUCGCAAGCCGGAUGCAGCCAUGCCGCGUGUGUGAAGAAGGCCUUCGGGUUGUAAAGCACUUUCAGCGGGGAGGCGUUACCCGCAGAAGAAGCACCGGCUAACUCCGUGCCAGCCGCCGCGGUAAUAC
rnacentral:rRNA from 1 species